UGUGAUGUCACUCGCUCUGAGACAAAGUCCCCUUGGCUUGAAGUAGUUGUUCCCCGCGGGUUUUGUAGAGCGAUGGGUAAUGAUGCUUCAAGGGUGGCUGUUGUUUAUGUGUGCAGAGGUUAGUUCGAGCCCAGGUAGGGGCGAGGAGAGGGACGGAAGCUAAACUGUUACAUAAGGAGAUGGAGAAAACACCAGUCUCUGGAUUACAUCUUCAAUCUAAGGAAAACCAUGGAAUCUGUGACAGGGAAAAGCGUCCAUUCCGUCCCUUUGGAAAACCAUGGAUAAUCUACACUCCAACAGACCCUACAGUUAGAGAAUGAAGGAAGAGAUCCGAAAGGCUGGCGUGUUGUUGGUGUUGUCCCAGUGCAGGCAGGCUCCUCAGAGAGGGGACAGGAGACUGACCCUGUCGACCGUGACCCUGCCGCAGGCCCUGCCCCAGACCGUGAACGCUCUCCCCGUUGAGGUUGUUGUCGCUAGCGGAGCGCAGAAGGGAGCGGGGCGAGGGCAGUCCUCCCACCAACACACGUCUACGGUUAGUAUCCUGCUUCUCAACACAAGUGUUCCGUAAAACAAGGCUCCCAUAGGAAACUGCCAUUCUCAUGGGGGAGAACAGAACCCUGCUGAAACCUGCUGUCUCAGUCUCUGCGUCUGUCUGGAAUAAAUCUUAGCCUCUGUUGUUUCAAGAAAAUACAUGUUGGGAACCAAUUAUCAGAUGUAUGCUACAUCUACUCUAACAGCUAACAGGCAACAGGGGAACACAUUCCAUCCACAUCUCCCUCCCUCCCUACUGUGCUCUCUCUCUCCCUACUGCACUCUCUCUCCACUACUGCGCCCUCUCUCUCGCUCUCUCUCUCUUAUUGGCCACUACUGCUCCCUCUCUCUCGCUCUCUCUCAUUGGCCACUACUCUCUCUCGCUCUCUCACAGAUACAACAAAACUAGCAUUUCAAACAAAAUUAACAAAAUUAUAUUGUAAUUUGUUAUCCUUUUGUUUGCUUUCUCUCUCUCUCUCUCUCUGAUUCAUAUUUCACACAUUAGUAAUCCUUCAUUAAAAGGCU
rnacentral:lncRNA from 1 species